rnacentral:rRNA from 1 species
UACGAAGGGGGCUAGCGUUGCUCGGAAUCACUGGGCGUAAAGGGCGCGUAGGCGGCCAUUCAAGUCGGGGGUGAAAGCCUGUGGCUCAACCACAGAAUUGCCUUCGAUACUGUUUGGCUUGAGUUUGGUAGAGGUUGGUGGAACUGCGAGUGUAGAGGUGAAAUUCGUAGAUAUUCGCAAGAACACCAGUGGCGAAGGCGGCUCUCUGGGACGGUACUGGACGCUGAGACGCGAAAGCGUGGGGAGCGAACAGG